CGGCAGCCAUAUCACCCUGUAGCCCAAGACUGGUUGCCCACUGAAGCUAAGCAGGGCUGAGCCUGGUCAGUACCUGGAUGGGAGACCUCCUGGGAGUGCUAUAUUAAUGUAAUGA
rnacentral:rRNA from 1 species